rnacentral:lncRNA from 1 species
GAACAUCCAACACCUGCGGCACUUCAACCCUUCGGAUAUAAAAGCUAUGUACUCUGUCAACUUUCUCAUAUUGAAUAAAUAAAACCCCAGAGGUUCUUUGCGUACCUACUACCUUCUUGCUUUCUUAGCCGAGCUCUUAAUCACACUCGGGGGCUGUCCGACCUGUUCGACAGACCACACCCUCACCUUUACGCUCGGGGGCUUCCCCCGCUAUGCGCUGAUCUCUGAGUCCCAACU